rnacentral:rRNA from 1 species
GACGAACGCUGGCGGCGUGCUUAACACAUGCAAGUCGAACGCUGAAGCUUGGUGCUUGCACUGGGUGGAUGAGUGGCGAACGGGUGAGUAAUACGUGAGUAACCUGCCCUUGACUCUGGGAUAAGCCUGGGAAACUGGGUCUAAUACUGGAUACGACAUGUCACCGCAUGGUGGUGUGUGGAAAGGGUGUUUGUGGUUUUGGAUGGGCUCACGGCCUAUCAGCUUGUUGGUGGGGUAAUGGCUCACCAAGGCGACGACGGGUAGCCGGCCUGAGAGGGUGACCGGCCACACUGGGACUGAGACACGGCCCAGACUCCUACGGGAGGCAGCAGUGGGGAAUAUUGCACAAUGGGCGGAAGCCUGAUGCAGCGACGCCGCGUGAGGGAUGACGGCCUUCGGGUUGUAAACCUCUUUCAGCACGGAAGAAGCGAAAGUGACGGUACGUGCAGAAGAAGCGCCGGCUAACUACGUG